rnacentral:antisense_RNA from 1 species
UUGGAUUUCCUUUGGCAGGGUUCCCUUGUAUGGAAGUUCUCAGGAGAACAACACUCUCAGAGUCCCAUUGUCUCAAAGAAUUCUUAAUGGACAGGUAUUUUUAAAGAAGUCAGGGUUAUCCACAGCUAUGUACAUAUAAUACCAAAUCAGAUCAUUUAUUCUGUACCUGAGGCAAAAAAGCUUCUGAUUCCUGAAUGGAUUUCUUCACUGGUUCUUCUGGGGGAUGAGAGAGAGAAACCAUUUACAAAGCUGAAGGAGAGCUAAGUCCACCCCUACACUGGCUGAGUUUCUUUGUAUAACAACUGUUCUCCCUUCCUAUUUUCUUCAAUUAUCUCUUCUUUCCCCAGCUAUACUUGGCCCCAAGGUUUCAACCUCAGACUGAAGAAAGUGACAUAAGAAAACACAAGUCCCAGUGCUAUCAGGGGCUAUCUGGAAAAGCUGCUUAAACAGCAAGUGAAAGAAGGCUCUCCCCUACCCCGUUCUAGGUGAGGAACAGGUGGCUGACUCACCCUGAAGUUAUUUGAAGGAUCCUUGAGACUCUUUUGGAUUGCUGCUUGGAGAACAUUCCUGUAACUUGUCCCUGCUCCUUGAACUAUAAAAGCAGAAGGGAGGUACUGAGUUAAAACUUAUAAAUUAUUAUCAAAUAAAUCUUCAAUAGU